UACAGAGGGUGCGAGCGUUAAUCGGAAUUACUGGGCGUAAAGCGUGCGUAGACGGUUAUUUAAGUCGGGUGUGAAAGCCCCGGGCUCAACCUGGGAAUUGCAUUCGAGACUGAAUGGCUAGGGUACGGUAGAGGGAAGUGGAAUUUCCGGUGUAGCGGUGAAAUGCGUAGAUAUCGGAAGGAACAUCAGUGGCGAAAGCGACUUCCUGGACCAGUACCGACGUUCAGGCACGAAAGCGUGGGGAGCAAACAGG
rnacentral:rRNA from 1 species